rfam:Pristionchus pacificus strain PS312 contig12153, whole genome shotgun sequence.
UCUUCAUUUCGCACACUCUCUCACCGGUCAGAGUGAGGCCGAGAGAGUGUGUGAAAUGAAGAGA